AAUUACCGGGCGUAAAGCGCGCGUAGGCCGUUGAGUUAGUUAAUUGUGAAAUCCCAAAGCUUAACUUUGGAACUGCAAUUAAAACUGCUCGACUAAAGUUUGAUAGAGGAAAGCGGAAUACAUAUUGUGGAGGUGAAAUUCGUAGAUAUUAUGUAAAACACCACUUGCGAAGGCGGCUUUCUGGAUCAACACUGACGCUAAGGCGCGAAAGUAUGGGUUGCAGAGAGGAUUAGAUACCCUCGUAGUCCAUACCAUAAACUAUGAUGGCUAGAUGUUGGAAAUUUAUUUUCAGUAUCGCAGCUAACGCAUUAAGCAAUCCGCCUGGGGAGUACGACCGCAAGGUUAAAACUC
rnacentral:rRNA from 1 species